rnacentral:rRNA from 1 species
AGAGUUUGAUCCUGGCUCAGGAUGAACGCUGGCGGCGUGCCUAACACAUGCAAGUCGAGCGAACCCUUCGGGGUGAGCGGCGGACGGGUGAGUAACGCGUGGGUAACCUGCCCUGUACACACGGAUAACAUACCGAAAGGUAUGCUAAUACGAGAUAAAAUGUAAUGAUCGCAUGGUCGAUACAUCAAAGCUCCGGCGGUACAGGAUGGACCCGCGUCUGAUUAGCUAGUUGGUGAGGUGAUGGCUCACCAAGGCGACGAUCAGUAGCCGACCUGAGAGGGUGAUCGGCCACAUUGGAACUGAGGCACGGUCCAAACUCCUACGGGAGGCAGCAGUGGGGAAUAUUGCACAAUGGGCGAAAGCCUGAUGCAGCAACGCCGCGUGAGCGAUGAAGGCCUUCGGGUCGUAAAGCUCUGUCCUCAAGGAAGAUAAUGACGGUACUUGAGGAGGAAGCCCCGGCUAACUACGUGCCAGCAGCCGCGGUAAUACGUAGGGGGCUAGCGUUAUCCGGAUUUACUGGGUGUAAAGGGCGUGUAGGCGGAGCUGCAAGUCAGAUGUGAAAUCCCGGGGCUCAACCCCGGAACUGCAUUUGAAACUGUAGCCCUUGAGUAUCGGAGAGGCAAGCGGAAUUCCUAGUGUAGCGGUGAAAUGCGUAGAUAUUAGGAGGAACACCAGUGGCGAAGGCGGCUUGCUGGACGACAACUGACGCUGAGGCGCGAAAGCGUGGGGAGCAAACAGGAUUAGAUACCCUGGUAGUCCACGCUGUAAACGAUGAAUACUAGGUGUGGGAGGACUGACCCCUUCCGUGCCGCAGUUAACACAAUAAGUAUUCCACCUGGGGAGUACGACCGCAAGGUUGAAACUCAAAGGAAUUGACGGGGGCCCGCACAAGCAGUGGAUUAUGUGGUUUAAUUCGACGCAACGCGAAGAACCUUACCAGGACUUGACAUCCAACUAACGAAGUAGAGAUACAUUAGGUGCCCUUCGGAGAAAGUUGAGACAGGUGGUGCAUGGUUGUCGUCAGCUCGUGUCGUGAGAUGUUGGGUUAAGUCCCGCAACGAGCGCAACCCCUAUUGUUAGUUGCUACGCAAGAGCACUCUAGCGAGACUGCCGUUGACAAAACGGAGGAAGGCGGGGACGACGUCAAAUCAUCAUGCCCCUUAUGUCCUGGGCUACACACGUAAUACAAUGGCCGUCAACAAAGGGAAGCAAGAUCGCGAGAUGGAGCAAAUCCCCAAAAACGGUCUCAGUUCGGAUUGCAGGCUGCAACUCGCCUGCAUGAAGCUGGAAUUGCUAGUAAUCGUGGAUCAGCAUGCCACGGUGAAUACGUUCCCGGGCCUUGCACACACCGCCCGUCA